rnacentral:lncRNA from 1 species
AAAGAUUUAAUAUUUUUUAAUUCUUUCUUUAGUGAUUUAUUUUCUUCUACUAAAGUCUUGUUGUUCUGUAAAAUCCCUUCUUUUUCUUUUAACAAAGAUUGAUUUUUCAGUUUUAAAUCUCUGUUUUUCAAACUAAUUUUUUAAAUUCAUCAAGCAACUCAUGGAAUGUAUCUUGAAGUUCAUCAAAAGUAAAGUCCAGUACAUGUUCAGAUUGUACCUCAUCCUCUUGUACCAUAAGACAUA